UACGUAGGUGGCAAGCGUUUGUCCGGAUUUACUGGGCGUAAAGAGCGCGCAGGCGGUCGUUCAAGUCGCGUGUGAAAGCCCCCGGCUCAACUGGGGAGGGUCACGCGAUACUGAUCGACUCGAAGGCAGGAGAGGAAGUGGAAUUCCCGGUGUAGUGGUGAAAUGCGUAGAUAUCGGGAGGAACACCAGUGGCGAAGGCGACUUCCUGGCCUGUUCUUGACGCUGAGGCGCGAAAGCUAGGGGAGCAAACGGG
rnacentral:rRNA from 1 species